GACGAACGCUGGCGGCGUGCUUAACACAUGCAAGUCGAACGGAAAGGCCCUGCUUUUGUGGGGUGCUCGAGUGGCGAACGGGUGAGUAACACGUGAGUAACCUGCCCUUGACUUUCGGAUAACUUCAGGAAACUGGGGCUAAUACCGGAUAGGAGCUCCUGCUGCAUGGUGGGGGUUGGAAAGUUUCGGCGGGUGGGGAUGGACUCGCGGCUUAUCAGCUUGUUGGUGGGGUAGUGGCUUACCAAGGCUUUGACGGGUAGCCGGCCUGAGAGGGUGACCGGCCACAUGGGGACUGAGAGACGGCCCAGACUCCUACGGGAGGCAGCAGUGGGGAAUAUUGCACAAUGGGCGGAAGCCUGAUGCAGCAACGCCGCGUGCGGGAUGACGGCCUUCGGGUUGUAAACCGCUUUCGCCUGUGACGAAGCGUGAGUGACGGUAAUGGGUAAAGAAGCACCGGCUAACUACGUG
rnacentral:rRNA from 1 species